rnacentral:lncRNA from 10 species
GCCUGGGGCUGGUGCUGUGAGCUCUGCUUGCCUUCCGAGACAAGUUAGAAGGCAAACACAACUUGCCAGUGUGGAAAUGAGAAAGGGAAGGAGAGUUUGGUGUUUGCGCCUUUUCCCUUUGACCUGUUUUUUCCCAGAGUACCUGGAGAAGGAGGAACAGUCGUUUCUUUUCUUUCCUGGAACAUAUUUCUUGCCCUAAAGGUCACAAGAAAGGAUUCUUCACCAGGACAGCUCGAAGAGUGCGUCAUCCUAGAGGUGUUUUCAGAGUUAGUAGUGGGAAACUUUGGGGUAGAAAAGAAAAUCGCAGAAAAGAAACAGUAUAAAACAGAACGAAGACUUAUUCACUGACUGGGUCCCAAGACCACCGCUCUGUUUAUUAGAUACCCCUGGAAGUUAGUACAAAGUUCAUAACCUCCGUUAUUUCCAGAGAGGUACCAGUUCGUUGGAUAGUGAGAGAAGCGUGCAGCUCUGACUGCUUUUUUUUGGGGGGGUGGGGGGUUAGGGGAUGUAGGAAUUGCCUAAUUCCUACAUCCUAAUUCUAAUUGUCCUUAAAUUAGAAACAAAUUAGCAGAGGCCCUAGUGGAUAUAUUUCCUUCCUGUUGACUUAGGGAAGUGACAGGAGACCAGUAAUGCCUACUAACCUCCACCACAAAAGGACACUUCCACCUCUCCACUGGUUUCGUUUCUUUUACCUAAAUGUAGGCUACCAAAGUGUUUUUUUUGUUGUUGUUGUUGUUUAUUUUUUUAAAAUAAUGGGUCCGGUGAGGGUGGAGGAUUAACAGCUCUGUUUACAAUAAACAAGUUUAGGCACUACUGCAAGCACCCAGACUUAUUCGUAGGGGACUUAAGAAUGCGAUUCAAGACCUAUAUUCUGUCUUCAGUUGCUUUCUUUUGACUAAUUUUUUCCAGCAUGUAUAACCAGCCAGUGGAAACAGGAAUAUACUAGCACUACUGUGAUCCUUUCUAGUUUAGGAGAAAAAAAUAAAAAUCAUUCUACUUAUGUAAUUUUGAGUCCAAACAAUCAAUAUUGGCAGGGCUGUGAUAGAAAUUAGUCCUUCAGCAAGUCUGAAGUAUAAGUUAGAUCAACAUGAGACUACUGUGUGCUGUGCGAUUCUGUUUCAAUAAUUUCAGACUGGCUGGCCUCAGGCGCAUGUGACUGAAUGAAUCCAACACACCCCAGUCCUUUUGAUAGCAAAUGGUGUGGGGGGCUGCUGUUACCUGAGUGAUAUUUGUUGCCAUCAUAUGAUCACCAUAUUAUAGACAAGAGUUAGGCUUAUAGAGAUUAUGGCUGGUCAUCCUAUGUUCAUCAGAUUGGGAGACCUCUGCUACUGCCUGAUUUGGGAGGCCACUUUGCUCCUAGGUGCUACUGGGAUGGCUGGGAAUGGGAGAAUUGAACUGAGAGGACACAGUUGUAGGACAAUUUGCUACCAGCACUCUAGGUCAGAGAUCUGGUGGGUGAGGAAGCAAUGCCUAGCUGACUAGGUGUGUCUCCUUUUGUCUUGAUGAGCUGUUCUCAGGUGCACAAUAGUGGCUCAACAACAUAUCUUGAACUGACCAACUAUAAAGCCUCAGAGGGAACAAGCCCUGAUCCAUUUUAUAUCUGAAUGCCUGGCACUGAGUGGGUACUCAAUAAAUGCUUGAUGGAUGCCUUAGGGGAAAAUUUGGCCACAGGUCAAGAAUUGCUUCCUGGUUUUAUGGGGCUGUGAGUGAGUGAGUGAAGAAAUGUUGCCUUUUGAUAGCUGGCGUCUAGUGUAGAUUCUUCCAUGAAUGCCUGUUGAGGGUUCAACAUCCGUCUUGUCACCUGGAACAUUUGGUCAGAGAUUACAACAUGGCUCUCAGACAUGCUUU